UGCCAGCAGCCGCGGUAAUACGAAGGGUGCAAACGUUGCUCGGAAUCAUUGGGCGUAAAGCGCGCGUAGGCGGCUUGGCAAGUUGGAUGUGAAAGCCCUGGGCUCAACCCAGGAAGUGCAUCCAAAACUGCCUGGCUUGAAUCUCGGAGGGGGUCAGGGAAUUCCCGGUGUAGAGGUGAAAUUCGUAGAUAUCGGGAGGAACACCAGUGGCGAAGGCGCUGACCUGGACGAAGAUUGACGCUGAGGCGCGAAAGCGUGGGGAGCAAACAGGAUUAGAUA
rnacentral:rRNA from 1 species